UUCCCUGCAUAGUACGUAUAGACUUAAAUUUUUAGAACCAACAAACAUAUAAGAGGGGCUGAUCUCGUAAAUAUGGCGUGCAAGCUCACAGUAUAUAGUGAGAAGCCCAGGAAUAUUUAGGUAGGCACCCACCUGUUUUUAGGAGCAGGUCCUUAAAAAUUUAGACAUCUGACGGCUAACGCGGGGGAU
rnacentral:other from 1 species